GACGAACGCUGGCGGCGUGCUUAACACAUGCAAGUCGAACGGAAAGGCCCUGCUUGCAGGGUACUCGAGUGGCGAACGGGUGAGUAACACGUGGGUGAUCUGCCCUGCACUUCGGGAUAAGCCUGGGAAACUGGGUCUAAUACCGGAUAGGAGCCAUUUUUAGUGUGAUGGUUGGAAAGUUUUUUCGGUGUAGGAUGAGCUCGCGGCCUAUCAGCUUGUUGGUGGGGUAAUGGCCUACCAAGGCGGCGACGGGUAGCCGGCCUGAGGGGGUGGACGGCCACAUUGGGACUGAGAUACGGCCCAGACUCCUACGGGAGGGAGCAGUGGGGAAUAUUGCAAAAUGGGAGGAAGCCUGAUGCAGCGACGGCGAGUGGGGGAUGACGGGCUUCGGGUUGUAAAAUGCUUGCGCUAGGGACGAAGCUUUUUGUGACGGUACCUAGAUAAGAAGCACCGGCUAACUACGUG
rnacentral:rRNA from 1 species